rnacentral:rRNA from 1 species
UACGUAGGUGGCGAGCGUUGUCCGGAUUUACUGGGUGUAAAGGGCGUGUAGGCGGACUGACAAGUCAGAUGUGAAAUCCCGCGGCUUAACUGCGGGACUGCAUUUGAAACUGUUGGUCUUGAGUACUGGAGAGGAAAGCGGAAUUCCCGGUGUAGCGGUGGAAUGCGUAGAUAUCGGGAGGAAUACCAGUGGCGAAGGCGGCUUUCUGGACAGCAACUGACGCUGAGGCGCGAAAGCGUGGGGAGCAAAC